UGGGAGUCUGUUCUUCAGUCCUUGAACGA
rnacentral:piRNA from 1 species